rnacentral:rRNA from 1 species
CCUACGGGAGGCAGCAGUGAGGAAUAUUGGUCAAUGGACGAGAGUCUGAACCAGCCAAGUAGCGUGAAGGAUGACUGCCCUAUGGGUUGUAAACUUCUUUUAUAAAGGAAUAAAACGAGGCACGGGUGCCUUUUUUCAUGUACUUUAUGAAUAAGGAUCGGCUAACUCCGGGCCAGCAGCCGCGGUAAAACGGAGGAUCCGAGCGUUAUCCGGAUUUGUUGGGUUUAAAGGGAGCGUAGAUGGGUUGUUAAGUCAGUUGUGAAAGUUUGCGUCUCAAGCGUAAAAUUGCAAUUGAUACUGGCAGUCUUGAGUACAGUUGAGGUAGGCGGAACUCGUGGUGUAGCGGUGAAAUGCUUAGAUAUCACGAAGAACCCCGAUUGCGAAGGCAGCUUACUAAACUGUGACUGACAUUGAUGCUCGAAAGUGUGGGUAUCAAACAGGAUUAGAUACCCUUGUAGUC